CGAAUGAGCCUGGGGAGCUGGCGUACGCCGGCUGAGAGGGGAGAAGCAUCCCGACCCGUUAAACCUGAUCUGGAUAAUGCCAGCGUAGGAACCGCAUGUCAUCCGAGCC
rnacentral:ncRNA from 3 species